rnacentral:rRNA from 1 species
GAUGAUGCCCAGCUUGCUGGGUGGAUUAGUGGCGAACGGGUGAGUAACACGUGAGUAACCUGCCCCUGACUCUGGGAUAAGCGUUGGAAACGACGUCUAAUACUGGAUAUGACUGCCGGCCGCAUGGUCUGGUGGUGGAAAGAUUUUUUGGUUGGGGAUGGACUCGCGGCCUAUCAGCUUGUUGGUGAGGUAAUGGCUCACCAAGGCGACGACGGGUAGCCGGCCUGAGAGGGUGACCGGCCACACUGGGACUGAGACACGGCCCAGACUCCUACGGGAGGCAGCAGUGGGGAAUAUUGCACAAUGGGCGAAAGCCUGAUGCAGCAACGCCGCGUGAGGGAUGACGGCCUUCGGGUUGUAAACCUCUUUUAGUAGGGAAGAAGCGAAAGUGACGGUACCUGCAGAAAAAGCACCGGCUAACUACGUGCCAGCAGCCGCGGUAAUACGUAGGGUGCAAGCGUUGUCCGGAAUUAUUGGGCGUAAAGAGCUCGUAGGCGGUUUGUCGCGUCUGCUGUGAAAUCCCGAGGCUCAACCUCGGGCUUGCAGUGGGUACGGGCAGACUAGAGUGCGGUAGGGGAGAUUGGAAUUCCUGGUGUAGCGGUGGAAUGCGCAGAUAUCAGGAGGAACACCGAUGGCGAAGGCAGAUCUCUGGGCCGUAACUGACGCUGAGGAGCGAAAGCGUGGGGAGCGAACAGGAUUAGAUACCCUGGUAGUCCACGCCGUAAACGUUGGGCGCUAGAUGUAGGGACCUUUCCACGGUUUCUGUGUCGUAGCUAACGCAUUAAGCGCCCCGCCUGGGGAGUACGGCCGCAAGGCUAAAACUCAAAGGAAUUGACGGGGGCCCGCACAAGCGGCGGAGCAUGCGGAUUAAUUCGAUGCAACGCGAAGAACCUUACCAAGGCUUGACAUACACCGGAAACGGCCAGAGAUGGUCGCCCCCUUGUGGUCGGUGUACAGGUGGUGCAUGGUUGUCGUCAGCUCGUGUCGUGAGAUGUUGGGUUAAGUCCCGCAACGAGCGCAACCCUCGUUCUAUGUUGCCAGCGCGUUAUGGCGGGGACUCAUAGGAGACUGCCGGGGUCAACUCGGAGGAAGGUGGGGAUGACGUCAAAUCAUCAUGCCCCUUAUGUCUUGGGCUUCACGCAUGCUACAAUGGCCGGUACAAAGGGCUGCGAUACCGUAAGGUGGAGCGAAUCCCAAAAAGCCGGUCUCAGUUCGGAUUGAGGUCUGCAACUCGACCUCAUGAAGUCGGAGUCGCUAGUAAUCGCAGAUCAGCAACGCUGCGGUGAAUACGUUCCCGGGCCUUGUACACACCGCCCGUCAAGUCAUGAAAGUCGGUAACACCCGAAGCCGGUGGCCUAAC